GGAAGGUUGUCCGAGUGGUCGAUGGUGACGGUCUUGAAAACCGUUGAACGCAAGUUCCGAGAGUUCGAAUCUCUCACCUUCCG
rnacentral:tRNA from 1 species